rnacentral:rRNA from 1 species
UACAGAGGGUGCAAGCGUUGUUCGGAAUUACUGGGCGUAAAGGGCGUGUAGGCGGCUUAGCAAGUCAGAUGUGAAAGCCCGAGGCUUAACUUCGGAAGUGCAUUUGAAACUGCUAGGCUAGAGUGAUGUAGAGGUUGGUGGAAUUCCCAGUGUAGAGGUGAAAUUCGUAGAUAUUGGGAGGAACACCGGUGGCGAAGGCGGCCAACUGGGCAUUAACUGACGCUGAGGCGCGAAAGCGUGGGGAUCAAACAGGAUUAGAUACCCUGGUAGUCCACGCUGUAAACGAUGGAUACUCGAUGUGGCUGGUAUUGACCCCGGCCGUGUCCAAGUUAACACGAUAAGUAUCCCGCCUGGGGAGUACGGUCGCAAGAUUA